rnacentral:RNase_P_RNA from 1 species
GUGAUGGGUCGCCCCACCGCGGCGCCAAACGCAAGUAAGGCGACGAGGAAAGUCCGGGCAACGCAGAGCACCCUGCUUCCUAACGGGAAGGACUAGGCGGCGUAAAGCCUCCUAGGACAGCUAGUGCCACAGAAAAUUACCGCCGUUUUUUGGCUGUUAGCUUUCGUUCUGCGAAGACUAAUAGCAGCUAGCUAUCAGCUCAAAAAAAGGUAAGGGUGAAAAGGUGCGGUAAGAGCGCACCAGCGGCUGGGCAACCAUGCCGGCUGGGUAAACCUCAGGGGUUGAAAGACCAAAUAAGCUGGCACGCCAGCCCUUUCGGGGGCGGGCACCGGGCGGCUCGUCCGGCGUCAGCGGGUAGGUUGAUGGAGCCUUUCCGCGAGGACUGGCCUAGAUAAAUGGUGGGGCCGCGGCUUCGGCAGCGGACAAAACCCGGCUUACAGACUCAUCACCGGC